rnacentral:rRNA from 1 species
AGAAUCAACGCUGGCGGCGUGCCUAACACAUGCAAGUCGAACGAGAAAGUGGAGCAAUCCAUGAGUAAAGUGGCGCACGGGUGAGUAACACGUGACUAACCUACCCUUGAGUGGGGGAUAACCUAGGGAAACCUGGGCUAAUACCGCAUAAUACCUUCGGGUCAAAGGAGCAAUUCGCUUAAGGAGGGGGUCGCGGCCGAUUAGUUAGUUGGCGGGGUAAUGGCCCACCAAGACGAUGAUCGGUAUCCGGCCUGAGAGGGCGCACGGACACACUGGAACUGAAACACGGUCCAGACUCCUACGGGAGGCAGCAGUGGGGAAUUUUGCGCAAUGGGGGAAACCCUGACGCAGCAACGCCGCGUGGAGGAUGAAGUCCCUGGGACGUAAACUCCUUUCGAUCGGGACGAUAAUGACGGUACCGGAAGAAGAAGCCCCGGCUAACGUUCGUGCCAGCAGCCGC